rnacentral:lncRNA from 1 species
AGCUUGCGCCAGCCGGCGGGAGCUAGCGGGCAGCAAGGGGGCCGGACAGGCUCCACUGGGCGGAGCGGCCCUGGCGGCGGUUGGAACCUGAAGGUUCCAUCGCACUUACUUCCUGUUUUGGGUCCGGGCACUUUGGAAGAACCAGGAUGGAAGCUCCAAAAAAUACCAGGAUGGAGGAAGCAGCCACGGGCGAGAGUGGCUGCAGCUGGAGUGAGCGAGCGCGACGAGCCACCGGAAACGGAGCUGCGGCCGCGCCCCGCCCCCAGCUCCCCGCACGCUGCCCCUCCCGCUCGUCUGUCCCGCUGGCGGCCCAGCGUGCUGGCUGUACGCGUCACUUCCGGCUGUGUCGGCGCGCGAAAAAAGGAACCAAAGAGAAGUGAAGGAAUGUGUCCAAGGGCUCCCAAGUUGGCGGUGGAAUUAGAAUUGAAGCCUCAGCUCCAAAGCCUGUGUUCUGAACUACCCGGUUGCAGUUCACAAAAUACACUUUGGCAGUACUUUCAUAACGAAAACAAAUGAUUACAACCAGUUUACAAAUGCUUUGCUUUACUGGAGGAUCGACAUGUUUGACUAAUUUUCAAAAAUAAAUCUCAGAAGCAGCAUUUUCUUGUGUUGAUAACUUUAUUACUAAUUUGUGGCACUCUGCAUUCUGUUGGAGUUAAGCCGUGUAUCAUUCCAUUUUUUAAUAAGUACAUAAUAAUGUUUAUGU